UCAGCUUAUGUCAAUAUGCCAAGCAAUUGUUAUAUAUGGAAUGAUACACUAAUUUGCUUUCAAAGUGGUUAAGUACUGCAAGCACCUGAAUACUGAAAAUAUAACUUAUGCUUGAAGAUGAAUUUCAGAUAGGAUGAAAAAAGUUUGUAUGUGGGCGGGGGGUCAUAGGCACAAAGACAGUGUUGUGUAUCUUCCAUCAGUGUGUCUUAAUUUCUACCUGUUUCAUAAAGGACCCUGGCUGGAUGCCUGGUCCAUCCUUUUUCCGGCUGUGGAACGUCACCCCUCUUGACACUCCUUAGGAGCUGGUUCUGGUCCUGGAAUGGUGGCCACCAUGCAAGGCCAUCUGAAAACCAGGACUUUGAAAUGGGUCCGGUGUUCCCCUCCUGAACAAAUUCUACGAUGAGGGACAUUCUGCGGCCAAAGUGGACCCGAACAAACCCUAAGAAUCAAAGGACCACAACGCUUAACGGACGCUCUCAUUUUCCCACAUGGAUUUCACGGAGGUGGAUGUAAUUUCAUGGUCUCACAUGAAGUUUUUCGGACUACUUCGAAGGUAGAAAAGUGAGAAGGAUUGACAUUCCAACACCAAGACAGAUGGUGGUGGUACAAGUCCAGGUCCAAAAUCCCUACGAGCAACACUGGUUCAGUGUAGAAGAGAAGCCUUCAGAACUCAGUGGGGUGGAAAAGCAUCUUCCCCCCCCCUCCUCUAUUACUUUCACAGUGUCACUCACUCAAAUAGACAAGAGAUUGUGAAGCUUGUCCAGUGAAGACGAGGAAAGCCAGCAGAAGGAAUUCAUUGCAGGACGAGUGGCCCUGGCAGUGGGGGCCAAAAUUUCUACC